GGGAGGUGGGGAAGAAGGCCAGGUCAUAUUGGGAGACUUGUGAAGCCAACAGGAGAGUUGACUUUUGCUGUGAAACUGGAAGUAUUAGAAGGUGUUGAGCAGAGAGGUGACAUAAUCUGUGUUACAUUUUUAAGGGUUCACUGUUGCUACUGUGUUAGAGAACACUCUACAGAACGCAUGGAUGAACAGAAGCACGAAGAGUCAGAAGCCUACUGCAAAUAAUCCAGUUCCCUGUGGAAACUGAAUUGAAAAGGGGCUUAACCAGAGAUGGAGACAGGAGGCUACUGCAGCUGUCCAGGCACAAAAUGAAGAUGGCAGCAGGAAGAAACUGGCAGUAUGAGUGGAGAGGAGUGAGCAGCUCUGCCAGGCUGUCCAGGUGAGGGCGG
rnacentral:lncRNA from 1 species